rnacentral:rRNA from 1 species
UAAAGNGCACGUAGGCUGUAGUGUAAGUCAGGGGUGAAAUNCCACGGCUCAACCGUGGAACUGCCUUUGAUACUGCACAACUUGAAUCCGGGAGAGGGUGGCGGAAUUCCAGGUGUAGGAGUGAAAUGCCGUAGAUAUCUGGAGGAACAUCAGUGGCGAAGGCGGUCACCUGGACUCGGUNUUGACGCUGAGGUGCGAAAGCGCGGUGAGCAAACAGGAUUAGAUACCCUGGUAGUCCACGCUGUAAACGAUGGAUGCUAGAUGUCGGGGAGUAUUCUUNGGUGUCGUAGUUAACGCGUUAAGCAUCCCGCCUGGGGAGUACGGUCGCAAGGCUGAAACUCAAAGAAAUUGACGGGGGCCCGCACAAGCGGUGGAGUAUGUGGUUUAAUUCGAUGCAACGCGAAGAACCUUACCUAGGUUUGNCAUCCACGGAACCCUACNAAAAGGAGGGGUGCCUUCGGNGNGACCGUGAGACAGGUGNUGCAUGUCUGUCGUCAGCUCGUGUCGUGNGAUGUUGGGUUAAGUCCCCGCACGAGCGCAACCUCUAUGGAUAGUUGCCAGCAAGUAAUGUUGGGCACUCUAUUCAGACUGCCCGGGUUAACCGGNAGGAAGGUGGGGCGUCGUCAAGUCAUCAUGGCCCUUANGNNUAGGGNUCCACACGUGCUCCAAUGGCGCGCGCAAAGAGGANCGAGACCGCGUGGUGNAGCCNGUCNCACAAUACGCGUCUCAGUCNGGAUUGCAGUCUGCACCUCNACUGCAUGAAGUUGGAAUCGCUAGUAAUUNNAGAUCAGCAUGCUCGGGUGAUAUGCGUUCCCGGGCCUUGUAGCACACCGCCCGUCUCACCCCGUGAGUCG